rnacentral:rRNA from 1 species
UCAUGCAAGUCGAGCGAACAGAUAAGGAGCUUGCUCCUUUGACGUUAGCGGCGGACGGGUGAGUAACACGUGGGUAACCUACCUAUAAGACUGGGAUAACUUCGGGAAACCGGAGCUAAUACCGGAUAACAUUUGGAACCGCAUGGUUCUAAAGUGAAAGAUGGUUUUGCUAUCACUUAUAGAUGGACCCGCGCCGUAUUAGCUAGUUGGUAAGGUAACGGCUUACCAAGGCGACGAUACGUAGCCGACCUGAGAGGGUGAUCGGCCACACUGGAACUGAGACACGGUCC